AAGAAUAUAGCUCAGUGGCACAGUGCCUGCCUGGUAAGUACAAGGUCCUGAGUUUGAUUCCCAGUAUCUUCC
rnacentral:tRNA from 1 species